rnacentral:rRNA from 1 species
AACGAACGCUGGCGGCAUGCCUAACACAUGCAAGUCGAACGAGACCUUCGGGUCUAGUUGCGCACGCGUUCGUAACGCGUGGGAACCUACCCUUAGGUUCGCCAUAAUUCACCGCAAGGGGUGCUAAUGCCAGCUAAUGUCAUCGCACCAAAGAUUUAUCGCCCUAGUGUGGGCCCGAGUUGGAUUAGCUUGUUGGUAGGGUAAAAGCCUAUCAAGGCGACGAUGCAUAGCUGGUCUGAGAGGAUGAUCAGCCACACCGGGGGGGGGACGCGGCCCAGAAUCCUACGGGAUGGAGGAGUGGGUGAUAGAGGACAAUGGGCGAAGGCAUGAUCGAGCAAGGACGGGUAAGUGAUGAAAGUCGUAGGGUAGUAAAGCUCUAUUAACCGGGAUGAUAAUGACAGUACCGGGAGAAUAAGCUCCGGCUAACUCCGUG